rnacentral:rRNA from 1 species
GAUGAACGCUGGCGGCGUGCCUAAUACAUGCAAGUCGAGCGAACGGACGAGAAGCUUGCUUCUCUGAUGUUAGCGGCGGACGGGUGAGUAACACGUGGAUAACCUACCUAUAAGACUGGGAUAACUUCGGGAAACCGGAGCUAAUACCGGAUGAUAUUUUGAACCGCAUGGUUCAAAAGUGAAAGACGGUCUUGCUGUCACUUAUAGAUGGAUCCGCGCUGCAUUAGCUAGUUGGUAAGGUAACGGCUUACCAAGGCAACGAUGCAUAGCCGACCUGAGAGGGUGAUCGGCCACACUGGAACUGAGACACGGUCCAGACUCCUACGGGAGGCAGCAGUAGGGAAUCUUCCGCAAUGGGCGAAAGCCUGACGGAGCAACGCCGCGUGAGUGAUGAAGGUCUUCGGAUCGUAAAACUCUGUUAUUAGGGAAGAACAAAUGUGUAAGUAACUGUGCACAUCUUGACGGUACCCAAUCAGAAAGCCACGGCUAACUACGUG